GUUUCCUGCCCGCGGUCGUUCUACAUUUUUUUUGUUGUAGGUGGCAGAUGUCGUUGAGGGAGGUGAGCCACAUGGCCCGCGUCAGGCCCCAGGACAAGGCCACGGGCGGGAGGCUGCGGGCCAACGUCAUGCCGACCUCCAGUAGUUCCCGGCUCGGAGCAUUCUCAGCCUGCUCGUAGUAGGCCAUGUGCAGCAUCAGCAUGAACAGGACCAGCAAGAUGGCUGCGAUGGACGACACACGCUUGCUUCUCGGUUUGUCUUACAGUGACCUUUGAUAGCCCCGAACUUCAAAACCCGGGGAUUGAAAUUGCCACU